UACGAAGGUGGCAAGCGUUGUUCGGCCUCACUGGGCAUAAAGCGCACGUGGGCGGCUUGGUCAGUCGGAUGUGAAAUCCCUCAGCUCAACUGAGGAACGGCGUCCGAUACUGCCAGGCUUGAGGUCUGGAGGGGGGAACGGAAUUCCUGGUGGAGCGGUGAAAUGCGUAGAGAUCAGGAGGAACGCCGGCGGCGAAAGCGGUUCCCUGGACAGAUCCUGACGCUGAGGUGCGAAAGCUAGGGGAGCAAACGGG
rnacentral:rRNA from 1 species